rnacentral:rRNA from 1 species
AGUGAACGCUGGCGGUAGGCCUAACACAUGCAAGUCGAACGGCAGCACAGUAAGAGCUUGCUCUUACGGGUGGCGAGUGGCGGACGGUUGAGGAAUACAUCGGAUUCUACUUUUUCGGGGGGGAUAACGUAGGGAAACUUACGCUAAUACCGCAUACGACCUACGGGUGAAAGCAGGGGAUCUUCGGACCUUGCGCGAUUGAAUGAGCCGAUGUCGGAUUAGCUAGUUGGCGGGGUAAAGGCCCACCAAGGCGACGAUCCGUAGCUGGUCUGAGAGGAUGAUCAGCCACACUGGAACUGAGACACGGUCCAGACUCCUACGGGAGGCAGCAGUGGGGAAUAUUGGACAAUGGGCGCAAGCCUGAUCCAGCCAUACCGCGUGGGUGAAGAGGGCCUUCGGGUUGUAAAGCCCUUUUGUUGGGAAAGAAAAGCAGCAGGUUAAUACCCCGCUGUUCUGACGGUACCCAAAGAAUAAGCACCGGCUAACUUCGUG